rnacentral:misc_RNA from 1 species
GAUGAAGAACGCAGCGAAAUGCGAUAAGUAAUGUGAAUUGCAGAAUUCAGUGAAUCAUCGAAUCUUUGAACGCACCUUGCGCCCUUUGGCCAUUCCGAAGGGCAUGCCUGUUUGAGUAUCAUGAACACCUCAACUCUCAUGGCUCGCCAUGAUGAGCUUGGACUUUGGGGGUCUUGCUGGCCUGUGGUCGGCUCCUCUCAAAUGGAUCAGCUUGCCAGUGUUUGGUGGCAUCACAGGUGUGAUAACUAUCUGCGCUUGUGGUUUUCCAUCAGAUAACCUUCAGUGAUGGAGGUUCGCUGGAGCUCAUAAACGUCUCCCCUAAGCGGGGACAGCCCUUUGAAUGUUUGAUCUCAAAUCAGGUAGGACUACCCGCUGAACUUAAGCAUAUCAAUAAGCGAAGGA